GUGGGGAAUUUUGGACAAUGGGCGCAAGCCUGAUCCAGCAAUGCCGCGUGCAGGAAGAAGGCCUUCGGGUUGUAAACUGCUUUUGUACGGAACGAAACGGUCCGGGUUAAUACCCUGGGCUAAUGACGGUACCGUAAGAAUAAGCACCGGCUAACUACGUGCCAGCAGCCGCGGUAAUACGUAGGGUGCAAGCGUUAAUCGGAAUUACUGGGCGUAAAGCGUGCGCAGGCGGUUUUGUAAGACAGGCGUGAAAUCCCCGGGCUCAACCUGGGAAUUGCGCUUGUGACUGCAAGGCUGGAGUGCGGCAGAGGGGGAUGGAAUUCCGCGUGUAGCAGUGAAAUGCGUAGAUAUGCGGAGGGACACCGAUGGCGAAGGCAAUCCCCUGGGCCUGCACUGACGCUCAUGCACGAAAGCGUGGGGAGCAAACAGGAUUAGAAACCCUAGUAGUCC
rnacentral:rRNA from 1 species